GAAGAAGAUCCACACUUCCGGGUGGUGAUGACGUCGCGUCGUGACGUCAUAUUUCAAAAUGGCAGAGCCCGCGGAAAGACCCCCUGGAGUCGACUCCAUUUCCCAAGAAAAGAUGUCAACAGCGCGACUUGUAACAAUUAUAAGGCCGAGGAGGGUUAUUUGAACACACACCAUUCAAUUAUUAUAAAUGAAAGUCACGUUUUUUAACCGCUCCGGUCUCGUCCCAGCGGAAGUGACGCUAGCACGUCAUCAGAAUACAACAGAUCAACACGACGAGAGAGACAUUCUGCCGCUAGACGAAGGUCACCGAGCAGCGACGAAGUUUGCAUUUUCGGUAGAGGUCCAGGGAGCCACGAGGGCGGUGCUAAAGAGACGCGGGUUGCUGACCCCCGGCCUACACCCUAGACUGGCCGCCAGUUCAUCACAGGACACAUGAACAAGCCUUCGCCCUCAAAUCAGAGAAAAACAACAACACCAGAAAUGUGUCCCGUGAAAAACCGUCCGACCAGAACUCUAAUAACUAAAGUUCCUUGGGUGAAUAAUGGUAACUCACUACACCGGUAUGUUUUAGGGCUUUCAUGGCGAGUUUACUGACUGAAAUAAGUAAUAACUUUACACUGCUUUUUAUUAGAAAUGGCAACAGCAGAGGAUGGAUGUCCCAUAACAAGAAGGUGGAGAAAAAGAAGAAGCUUAUCGACUACGGUGUCGGCACGGACUACAAAGGCGGACCUGCACAAAUUUUCAGGUACCAGAAGGUAAGAAAAGUUUCUUUUGCAUAAUAUUGCGAAACAAAACACCAGAAAAUAUGUCUUACCUUAUACACACACCAUAAUAAUACUCCUAUGUUGAAGCACAGUACAAUCCAUCAAGCGGUGCAGUUUCAUAGCUGACCAAAGUCCUACUAAAACAUUUUGAUAGAUUUUUGAGCGCCGUGUGUAAUGUUCUAUAUUUUCAAUGGAGCAUAUACAAUGUUGGUGUUGUUUACUUGAGUCAUAUUGCGGUCUACACAAAAUCAAAUCAAAUCAAUAAUGGAGCAGCAUCUCCUCAUCCGGAAACAACCACACCGGAAAUGUGUCCCGUGAAAAACCGUUCAACCGGAACUCUCUAAUAACUAAACUUCCUUGGGUGAAUAAUGUAAACUCACUACACCGGUAUGUUUUAGCGCUUUCAUGGCAAGUUUACUGACAGAUAUAAGUGAGAACUUGACACUACUUUAUAUUAGAAAUGGCAACAGCGGAGGAUGAAUGUCACAUAACAAGAAGAUAGAGAAAAAGAAGAAGCUUAUUAACUACAAAGGCGGACACACAAUUUUUCAA